AUUGAACGCUGGCGGCAGGCUUAACACAUGCAAGUCGAGCGAGCGGCGGACGGGUGAGUAAUGUCUGGGAAACUGCGUGAUGGAGGGGGAUAACUACUGGAAACGGUAGCUAAUACCGCAUACCAUCAGAUGUGCCCAGAUGGGAUUAGCUAGUAGGUGGGGUAAUGGCUCACCUAGGCGACGAUCCCUAGCUGGUCUGAGAGGAUGACAGGCCACAGUGGAACUGAGACACGGUCCAGCCUCCAACGGGAGGCAUGAGUGGGGAAUAUUGCACAAUGGGGGCAAGUCGUAGACAGCGAGGCCGCGUGUGUGAAGAAGGCGUUGGGGUUGUAAAGCACUUUCAGCGGGGAGGCGUUACUCGCAGAAGAAGCACCGGUUAACUCCGGGCCAGCAGCCGCGGUAAUAC
rnacentral:rRNA from 1 species